AGAGAGAGACAUGCGCGCAUAUCAAUAAGCGGAGGAAAAGAAACUAACAAGGAUUCCCUUAGUAACGGCGAGUGAAGCGGGAAGAGCUUAAAUUUGAAAUCUUCAAGGUUUUACCUUGACGAAUUGUAGUUUAAAGAAGUGUUUUCUGCUGAAGUUUUGGUAAAAGUUCUUUGGAAUAGGACAUCAUAGAGGGUGAGAAUCCCGUAUUUGACCAUUAUUUUCAGCUUUGUGAUACACUUUCAAAGAGUCGGAUUGUUUGGGAAUGCAGUCCAAAAUGGGUGGUAAAUUUCAUCUAAAGCUAAAUAUUGGCGAGAGACCGAUAGCGAACAAGUACCGUGAGGGAAAGAUGAAAAGAACCUUGAAAAGAGAGUUAAACAGUACGUGAAAUUGUCAAAAGGGAAGCGUUUGACACCAGUGUUGUUUUCUCGAAAAUCAAUUAAAAAUGGCUCGAUUUUGUAUUGCUUGAGACCUUAAAAGCUCACUGUACAUUCUUCGUGUCUUUUUUAAUGCACUUUUCGUUUAACAAGUCAACAUCAGUUUCUUUUGUUGUAAAAGGGUCAUUGGAAGGUGGCUUUCUUUUCGGAGAAAGUGUUUAUAGCCUUUGGCCUCUGCAAUCGGAGAGACUGAGGUCUGCAGCGUAGACUCUUCGGGGUUAGAUACAUUUGUGCUAAGUUAUAGCUUUUUAUAGACAACUUGUUGACUAUAAUUAGUCUUGUAGCUUACUCGCUUAUGCUAUUUUACCUACGCUUAGGAUGUUGAAGAUGUAGCACAUCAU
rnacentral:rRNA from 1 species